GACGAACGCUGGCGGCGUGCCUAAUACAUGCAAGUCGAACGCAGUGGGGACGGGUGAGUAACACGUGGGUAACCUCCCAUCAGAGGGGAUAACACUUGGAAACAGGUGCUAAACCGAUACUGAUGGAUGGAUCCGCGGUGCAUUAGCUAGUUGGUGAGGUAACGGCUCACCAAGGCCACGAUGCAUCACCGGCCUGGGAGGGUGGUCAGCCAAACUUGGACUGAGACACGGCCCAGACUCCUACGGGAGGCAGCAGUAGGGAAUCUUCGGCAAUGGACGGAAGUCUUAACGAGCAACGCCGCGGGGGUGAAGAAGGGUUUCGGAUCGGAAAGCUCUGUUGUUAGAGGAGCGGUAACUAACCAGAAAGCGACGGCUAACUACGUGCCAGCAGCCGCGGUAAUAC
rnacentral:rRNA from 1 species